AAAAGCUCGUAGUUGGAUCUCAGCUCCGGCCGGACGGUCCGCCUACCGGUGGUUACUGUUCGUCGCCGAGCGUUCAGGCGGUUAUUCUUGAUGAUCUUCACCGGUUGUCUCGGGUGACCGCCAAGUUUACUUUGAAAAAAUUAGAGUGCUCAAAGCAGGCGCGACGCCUGAAUAAUUGUGCAUGGAAUAAUGGAAUAGGACCUCGGUUCUAUUUUGUUGGUUUUCGGAACACGAGGUAAUGAUUAAGAGGGACAGACGGGGGCAUUCGUAUUGCGACGCUAGAGGUGAAAUUCUUGGACCGUCGCACGACGAACUACUGCGAAAGCAUUUGCCAAGAAUGUUUCCAUUAAUCAAGAACGAAAGUUAGAGGUCCGAAGGCGAUCAGAUACCGCCCUAGUUCUAACCAUAAACGAUGUCAGCCAGCAAUCCGCCUGUGUUCCUCAAAUGACACGGCGGGCGGCUUCCGGGAAACCAAAGCUUUUGGGUUCCGGGGGAAGUAUGGUUGCAAAGCUGAAACUUAAAGGAAUUGACGGAAGGGCACCACCAGAAAUGGAGCCUGCGGCUUAAUUUGACUCAACACGGGAAAACUUACCCGGCCCGGACACAGGAAGGAUUGACAGAUUAAGAGCUCUUUCUUGAUUCUGUGGGUGGUGGUGCAUGGCCGUUCUUAGUUGGUGGGGCGACUUGUCUGGUUAAUUCCGAUAACGAACGAGACUCUAGCCUACUAAAUAGACGUUCCGAUCCUCUUUUGUCGGACGUUCUUCUUAGAGGGACAAGCGGCGUUUAGCCGCACGAGACAGAGCAAUAACAGGUCUGGGAUGCCCUUAGAUGUCCGGGGCCGCACGCGCGCUACAUUGAAGGAAUCAGCGUGUGCUUUCCCUGUCCGACAGGACUGGGUAACCCGUUGAACCUCCUUCGUGCUGGGGAUUGGAGAUUGUAAUUGUCCUCCAUGAACGAGGAAUUCCCAGUAAGCACGAGUCAUCAGCUCGUGUUGAUUACGUCCCUGCCCUUUGUCCACACCGCCCGUCGCUACUACCGAUUGAAUGAUUUAGUGAGGUCUUCGGACUGGCGCUCGGAUUGGCCUUCGCGGUCGAGCCGGUGUGCCGGAAAGAUGACCAAACUUGAUCAUUUAGAGGAAGUAAAAGUCGUAACAAGGUUUU
rnacentral:rRNA from 1 species